rnacentral:tRNA from 1 species
GCCUGUAGCUCAGUUGGUUAGAGCAGUGGACUCAUAAUCCAUUGGUCGUAGGUUCAAGUCCUACCGGGCC